UCGGGAAUUUUGGGCAAUGGGCGAAAGCCUGACCCAGCAACGCCGCGUGAGGGAUGAAGUAUUUCGGUAUGUAAACCUCGAAAGAAUGGGAAGAAUAAAUGACGGUACCAUUUAUAAGCUCCGGCUAACUACGUGCCAGCAGCCGCGGUAAUACGUAGGGAGCAAGCGUUGUUCGGAUUUACUGGGCGUGAAGGGCGCGUAGGCGGCGCGGUAAGUCACUUGUGAAAUCUCUGAGCUUAACUCAGAACGGCCAAGUGAUACUGCUGUGCUAGAGUGCGGGAGAGGCAACCGGAAUUCUUGGUGUAGCGGUGAAAUGCGUAGAUAUCAAGAGGAACACCUGAGGCGAAGGCGGGUUGCUGGGCCGACACUGACGCUGAUGCGCGAAAGCCAGGGGAGCAAACG
rnacentral:rRNA from 1 species